rfam:Lactobacillus farciminis strain CNCM-I-3699-S genome.
ACAACUUUUAAUUAAGUCCAGAGAGGCUUAGAAAGCAUCAAUUAGGAGGGGAACCUUCUCAAACUAAACUUUCUUUGUCUGCUGGCAGAGGAAGUUUUUUUAUU